UGAAGGGAAGUUCUCUUUCUGCAGUUCUCUUACUGCACAUAACUGUGGCAUUAUGGGAACUCUUACUAUGCAAUCUUUCUAUGCUUACUAUGAAAACUCUUGCUUCUUUCCUCUUGGAUUCUGGGAAGUCUCCUUCUGCUCUGCACAUACUGUUCCAAACACACCAAGCUCAGGACACCCAAGACAUUCCCUCAAUUCUUCAGUUCAUUCUGAGUUCACGUACAAAAAUCAACAUGCUCUGUUCUCAAUGCAUAGCUGACCACAUAUACGGACCUUUCACUUAUGAUCAAUCAUUAGUAAUUGUUUUAGUCAUGUUAUAUUAAUCUUAGUUACAAUUUAAUUAGGAGGAUUCAUGCCUGUCUAGUUCCAGCUCCGCUCCCAGUCUUUUGAACUAUCACUGAUUAAUGUAAAAAUGUAAUGCCCGCCUUGUACCUAUGUUAACCAAUCAGCAACAAGAUGCUUUGUGUUUGUAUCAGCCAAUCAGCCACAAGCACACCUGUGGCAAUGUUUGUAAUAUUCAAUAAAAGAGAGUCCCCGGGACUUGCCCCGGGCAGACGUCUCUCCUUUGACACCCA